rnacentral:lncRNA from 1 species
AUCUCAUUCGUAAGGGAAUGUAACAGUUUUCAGAAUAAAGGAGCACUACGCAAGCAAGAGUAAAAUCAAGAAACGCCAGGAGCAGACCCAAACAGUGGACCCAAACAGGAUGUGCGGUAAAUGGACAGAUUGAGGUAGCCGUGAGUGAGCGAUGGCAGGCUGACGUGGGGGUGGCCGUGAUCCCGUCGUUCGGUGGUUCUGUGGUGAAUCCCGUGAUAUCAGAGGUGCCUUUCUCAUGGUCUGCCAAGGGAGACUACUUAAUGGUGGAAGCAGAAGCAGGCAGAAGUAUGCUUUGGGUCAACCUGGACCAUGUUGUAGAGAAGACUGAAGAAUGUGGUGGAUGGUGUAGUCAGAACCUCAAGACAAGAAUGUGGCAUUUAUGGGUGUCCUGCAGAGACCAACACAAUGCAAGAGGAACAUACAGAGUAGCUGAUCCAUAAGCCUUGUCCAGGAGUCCUCCCAAGCCACCUGUAGCUUCAAGAUCAAGGCAGCAGCAGCAGCGGUGACACCAGAAUGAAAGAGAAACUAGGAAGAGGGUGUGUGAAUGUAAGCAGAAGAG